AUUGAACGCUGGCGGCAGGCCUAACACAUGCAAGUCGAACGAGUGGCGGACGGGUGAGUAAUGUCUGGGAAACUGCCUGAUGGAGGGGGAUAACUACUGGAAACGGUAGCUAAUACCGCAUCCCAUCGGAUGUGCCCAGAUGGGCUUAGCUAGUGGGUGGGGUAAAGGCUCACCUAGGCGACGAUCCCGAGCUGGUCUGAGAGGAUUACCAGCCACGCUGGAACUGAUACACGGUCCAGACUCCUACGUGAGGCAGCAGUGGGGAAUAUUGGACAAUGGGCGAAAGCCUGAUCCAGCCAUGCCGCUUGUGUGAAGAAGGUCUUCGGAUUGUAAAGUACUUUCAGCGGGUAGGCGUUACCCGCAGAAGAAGCACCGGCUAACUCCGUGCCAGCAGCCGCGGUAAUUC
rnacentral:rRNA from 1 species